rnacentral:rRNA from 1 species
CCCUUAGAUGUUCUGGGCCGCACGCGCGCUACACUGACGAAGUCAGCGAGCAUGUCCUACGCCGACAGGUGCGGGGAAUCUUGUCAAAUUUCGUCGUGAUGGGGAUUGAUUAUUGAAAUUCUUGAUCAUCAACGAGGAAUUCCUAGUAAGCGCAAGUCAGCAGCUUGCGUUGAUUACGUCCCUGCCCUUUGUACACACCGCCCGUCGCUACUACCGAUUGAAUGGUUUAGUGAGAUCUUCGGAUUGGCGCCACUGCGGCUCAGCAAUGGGCUCGGUGGAUGCCGAAAAGUUGAUCAAACUUGAUCAUUUAGAGGAAGUAAAAGUCGUAACA